GACGAACGCUGGCGGCGUGCUUAACACAUGCAAGUCGAACGGUAAGGCCCUUCGGGUACACGAGUGGCGAACGGGUGAGUAACACGUGGGUGAUCUGCCCUGCACUUCGGGAUAAGCCUGGGAAACUGGGUCUAAUACCGGAUAGGACCAUGGACUUCACGGUUUGUGGUGGAAAGCUUUUGCGGUGUGGGAUGGGCCCGCGGCCUAUCAGCUUGUUGGUGGGGUAAUGGCCUACCCAAGGCGACGACGGGUAGCCGGCCUGAGAGGGUGUCCGGCCACACUGGGACUGAGAUACGGCCCAGACUCCUACGGAGGCAGCAGUGGGGAAUAUUGCACAAUGGGCGCAAGCCUGAUGCAGCGACGCCGCGGUGAGGGAUGACGGCC
rnacentral:rRNA from 1 species